rnacentral:rRNA from 1 species
UACGUAGGGGGGCAAGCGUUGUCCGGAUUUAUUGGGCGUAAAGAGCGUGUAGGCGGCUGGGUAGGUCCGUUGUGAAAACUCGAGGCUCAACCUCGAGACGCCGAUGGAAACCCUCCAGCUAGAGUCCGGAAGAGGAGAGUGGAAUCCUGGUGGUAGCGGUUGAAAUGCGCAGAUAUCAGGAAGAACACCCGUGGCUAAGGCGGCUCUCUAGUACGGUACUGACGCUGAGACGCGAAAGCGUGGGGAGCGAACAGG